CUACGUAGGGGGCGAGCGUUGUCCGGAAUGAUUGGGCGUAAAGGGCGCGUAGGCGGCCCGGUAAGUCUGGAGUGAAAGUCCUGUUUUUAAGAUGGGAAUUGCUUUGGAUACUGUCGGGCUUGAGUGCAGGAGAGGUAAGUGGAAUUCCCAGUGUAGCGGUGAAAUGCGUAGAGAUUGGGAGGAACACCAGUGGCGAAGGCGACUUACUGGGCUGUAACUGACGCUGAGGCGCGAAAGUGUGGGGAGCAAACAGGAUUAGAUGCCCUGGUAGUCCACACUGUAAACGAUGAAUGCUAGGUGUAGGGGGUAUCGACCCCUUCUGUGCCGCAGUCAACACAAUAAGCAUUCCGCCUGGGGAGUACGGCCGCAAGGUUGAAACUCAAAGGAAUUGACGGGG
rnacentral:rRNA from 1 species